UGGCGCACGGGUGAGUAACACGUGACUAACCUACCCUCGAGUGGGGAAUAACCUAGAGAAAUCUGGGCUAAUACCGCAUAACACUUACGAGUCAAAGCAGGAAUGCGCUUGAGGAGGGGGUCGCGGCAGAUUAGCUAGUUGGCGGGGUAAUGGCCCACCAAGGCAAUGAUCUGUAUCCGGCCUGAGAGGGCGCACGGACACACUGGAACUGAAACACGGUCCAG
rnacentral:rRNA from 1 species